CCUACGGGUGGCAGCAGUGGGGGAUAUUGCACAAUGGGGGGAACCCUGAUGCAGCGACGCCGCGUGAGCGAUGGAGUACUUCGGUAUGUAAAGCUCUUUCAGCAGGGAAGAAAAUGGCGGUACCUGACCAAUAAGCCCCGUCUAAAUACGUUCCAGCAGCCGCGGUAAUACGUAGGGGGCAAGCGUUAUCCGGAUUUACUGGGUGUAAUGGGGGUGCAGGCGGCAAUGCAAGCCAGGAGUGAAACGCCGGGGCUCAAUCCCGGGACUGCACGUGGAACUGAAUGGCUGGAGUACAGGGGGGGCAGGCGGAAUUCGUGGUGUAGCGGUGAAAUGCGUAGAUAUUAGGAGGAACACCGGUGGCGAAGGCAGCCUGCUGUAGUGUGACUGACGUUGAGGCCCGAAGGCGUGGGGAGCGAACAGGAUUAGAUACCCGAGUAGUC
rnacentral:rRNA from 1 species